rnacentral:lncRNA from 1 species
GCGGCGCCACCCGGCUGGGAGCGGAGAGAGACUGACGGCGGAGGCGGGGGUCAGGGCGCGGACCCGGACCCCAGCCCCAUGGGGGACAGAGUCCAAAAAUAGCUCGCGUCCUUGGUGUUCGCCUUGUCGCAGGAGCCUCGCCAUCGCGCAAUCUGCACUCGCCCCUCUGCAGAUCUAAGGCCAGACCUGGGCCACCCUAACUUCUCGGUAUCUCCUAUUUCUAGAAACCGGCCGGGUGGAGGAUGCAGCCGGGCGUGGUGGCUACAAGGAAGUGCCCUGGUGUUAAGAACUCAGCCUCUGAAACCCGCCGCCCAGCUUCGAGUCAGCGACGUACUUUUGUUGUCCCGGCCUUAGUAUCCCCGCUGCAAUAAGAGGUACUCAGCUCAAACCAUCUGGGUGAGGAUUAAAGGAGUUCAUAUCCAUAAAGGACUAGAACAGGUCCUGGCACCACGUAAACAUUCUUAUCAUCAAAUGUGAAAAAACAAAGUUCUCUAAGAUUUCGAAAGUGAACAGGUUAUUUUUCUACGGAGUAUUUGUGUCUGUUUCAACGUAAAAUUCAAGGUGUAUAUUUCAAAAUAUAUAGCUAAAUGAAUGUCUAUUCUAUUAAAAUGAUAAGAGAAACCUCUAAUGAGAAAA